GUUCCGUUAAGAAUAUCAGUUAAGAGGGACCAACUGCAUCUUCUCGCUUCUUGCCUCAGACUAGCCUCAUGUUGUUGUAUUUAGUUUCUCUUAUUUUGUUAUUUUGUUACAGUUUUCUUUAUUAUUCAAAGCUUAGUUUACAUUUACGUGAGCCACUUAUUUUCCUCAAAGAACAUUCUCUCUGCUGGAGAAUGGUGGAACAUCCUAAACUUGGGUGAGUGAGGGGAUAUUAUUCCCAGUUUGCCAGGAGGAUUGAAUAUGUUAAUCAUCUCCCCACUUCCACAGCAAUAUUAGAGGAGGAUUCUAUUAGAAAAUUGUGGAAAAGUCACAUAUUGGAGUCAUCUGGGGAGACGAUUCGGGUAAGGAUGGAAUGGUGAUGCUAAGAAGCCGUUACUCAGUGACAAUGGCCUGAAAUUGAGAAAGUAAAGGCAACUCACCUCAGUGGGAUCAUGCAGCCCAAUCCAGACCUGGCUUGCAUUUUUCUGGUUUGCAUAGAUGUAAUAGGCCACCACAUCUGACUCUUUCUCAUUGAGGAUGGAGGCAAGAUGGGUCCCACAGCCAUAGCUCAGGCACUCAUUCUGAGAAUAGCCAAGCAAGUAAAUAAGCUCCACCACUAUUGCUAACACACACACACACACACACACACACACACACACACACACUCUUUCCCACAAAGCUUUCCCAGAGUGGCUCACAACUUGUCAAAUAAGUAAUAACAAUUAUUUAAAAAUCAUAAAACACCAGUGGUGGAGAGUUGGAAGUUUUUCAAAUGGGAACUAAAGCAGCUGAGGAAGGAAGAGAGAAAAAGGGGUGAAGAAAAUGCUGUGAGUGGAGCCAGGCCCCUUUCUCCAUCCUCUGGACCUGCUGGGAAACUAAAGAAACCUGCUGGACCUGCUGCACACGAGUGCAGUUAAAGGUGCUUCAAGCACUCAAUCUUGGUGCAAGAAAACCACCUUGAAGCUCAUACACAAAAACUAGGAUGAAUGCAGGAAGAAUGCUCAUAGUCAUGAUUUGGCUGCACUCUUUUCAGAAGCGGGUGGCGCUGUGGGUUAAACCACAGAGCCUAGGACUUGCCGAUCAGAAGGUCAGCGGUUCGAAUCCCCGCAACGGGGUGAGUUCCAGUUGCUUGGUCCCUGCUCCUGCCAACCUAGCAGUUCGAAAGCCCGUCAAAGUGCAUGUAGAUAAAUAGGGACUGCUCCGGCGGGAAGGUAAACGGCGUUUCCGUGCGCUGCUCUGGUUCGCCAGAAGCGCUUAGUCAUGCUGGCCACAUGACCCGGAGGCUGUCUGCAGACAAACGCCGGCUCCCUCGGCCUAUAGAGCGAGAUGAGCGCGCAACCCCAGAGUCGGUCACGACUGGACCUACUGGUCGGGGGUCCCUUUACCUUUAUGCAGGCAUGUGGAAUGUUGACCUGUGUUUUAAUCUGGUUUUGUAUCUUAUCCUUGAAUUUAACUAUUAUCUUAAUGUUUGAAAUAGUUGUUCUUAACUGUAUAUAGCUGGGUGAUGUCAGGUUUUCAACACCAUGAUGUAUCACCAGCCAAACAUCACAAUCUGGCGAUACACCAUGAUGUUGAAACAACAAUCUGUAUUGGCCCCAGCCCUCAAGGCAUGGGGUGAAACGGCCACAGCUCUCAUUGCAAGAGAUGAGGCACUUUCAUCCCAACACCCUGCAGAGCUGAGGAUGACACAGCUUGUUUGCGGUUCUUGGCUUGGGGGUGGGAAGGCUCCACUCCCCCCCCCCCCAGCUGAGUGAGCCCUGAGGUCCCUCCUGCUCACAUGGAAGCUGGAGGGACAAAGGGGCAGAGAUAGCUUGUAUCUUUUCACUUGUGAGAUGGUACCUUCUUGCCAGGCCAUCUCUCCUGACUGUUAAUUAAGCUUUCUUGGCUCCUGUGGAAACAGGUUAAUUGAACACAAUGGGUGAGCAACUCUCUUUUGAUUAUACCAAGAUGCUGCCAGGUCUUGUCUCCCAACAGCUCACACUGAUAGCCCUCCUCACAAAAAUGUCAUCUGAAACCCAUGACAGCACCUGAUGUGACAGCUUGGUUGGUGAGAAACAGCUUCUUACCUCAGCUUCAGACCAAGUUUUCUGAGAGUCAAAAUAUGCAUAGCAGCUGCCCAGGGCUUUCAGCCAAUUCCUGGGACAGGAUCUGGCCUUUACUGUAUGGAGAGAGGAGUAAAAGAAGAAAAAGAUGGGGGAGGGGGACAAAAGCUGUUAGAAUGCAAUUUUCAAUGUGGAAUCCUACUUCACCUACAAAUUUGCACAGAUAAUUUUAAGAUUAAUGAAUGCAGACCUAAUUUAAACAUUCCUGCUUCCAUUGGUGACUGGUACCCCAUGGCACCAAUAUGAAAUUGGGACAGAAAGCAGGGAGGCAAACAGUAAGUGGAUCCAGAGUCCAUGACAGGCAGCGCCACUCCCUGACUGGUUGUCAAUAUGAAUAUGAGGAGUGGUUCAGAGCAGACUGAGGUUGGUAGGGAAGUUUCCUAUUCACCCUAAUGGACCUGCUUCCAUUGCCUGGUUAUUUAUUCCAACAGCCUUAGCUGGGUUACCAUCACCUGGAAAUCUGACAAGUAGUUUUGUUUUUAUAAAUGCUUAACCCCAAUUAAAAUUUCUGGGGAAUUCCCAGAUAAUUGUUAAAGCACUCACCUGCUGGGAAUGAAUAGGAGACCAGGAAACCAAGAAGGCAAAGGUAGGUGACAACCCCCAUCUUCUGGUUGACCUUCAGUGGAAGGAAAUGUGCAGCAAAUUAAAAACUUAUCCUUACUUAUUGGCAUUGUCAAUGUGGUGAUAGCAGGAAGAAGUAAAUCGGUAUUUUCUGUUCUUAAAAUCAUAAAUGGGAAGAUUAGAGAAAGAAGAGAGAACCCAAAACUUAAAGUUGGCGAUUGGUGAAGUAUCAUGGAGUCAAAUAAGGUUUGUGUGCAGAGGCACCUAGUGCUGACCAUGUUCCAUCUUCUGGUUGACCUUUUAUGGAAGGUCAAAACCUAUCCCCACUGAUUGCCAUUUCGUCCAUGUGGUGAUGGCAGGAAGAAAUAAAAUAGUAUUUUAUACUCUUAACAUCACAAUUCUCCUUCAUGUGAAUCUCUGAAAAAUGAGAAGAGAAGGAAAAGAAUGGAGAAAGACGAGAAGGUUAGGGAAAGAAGGGAGAACCUAAAGAGUUUGCCAUUGUUGAGGAAUCACAGAUCCUGGAUUCUGGACCAGUGGAGGCUGGUGUCCAUUGGGACUGGUAGGAUUUGUAGGGCAGACGGCAGUAAAACCAAUGGUAAGUGGCGGCAGAGUCAAUGACAGGCAGAGCCAAGCAAUUCUGGUUUUGUUCUCUUUCCCCUCCAGGGACAACAGGUAGAAGGAAGGAACAGAUGUAAGAAAGAACACACAACACUGGGACUUUCUGAGGGCAGGUCUUGCUUUGUGGGGCUGUGCCCCAUUCGUCCUAGCAUACCUGCCUCCACUGUUUCUAGACCAGGGAUGCUAACUUGAAUAAAAUAUUGAGGCAAGUAAGCCCCGCUCCCAUAAUUGAUCACAAGACGCAGCAC